UACCUGCAGCUCGAGUGGUGGCCGCUAUUAUCGGGCCUAAAACGUCCGUAGCCGGUUUAAUAAAUGCCUGGGUAAAUCGUGUAGCUUAACUAUACGAAUUCCGGGUAGACUGUUAGACUUGAGACCGGGAGAAGCUAGAGGUACUCCUGGGGUAGAGGUGAAAUUCUGUAAUCCUAGGGGGACCACCAGUGGCGAAGGCGUCUAGUUAGAACGGGUCUGACGGUGAGGGGACGAAGCCCUAGGGCGCAAACCGGAUUAGAUACCCGGGUUGUCCAGGGUGUAACGCUGCUUGCUUGAUGUUAGUUGGGCUCUGAGCCCAAUUAGUGUCGGAGAGAAGUUGUUAAGCAAGCUGCCUGGGAAGUACGGUCGCAAGACUGAAACUUAAAGGAAUUGGCGAGGGAGCACAGCAACGGGUGGAGCGUGCGGUUU
rnacentral:rRNA from 1 species